GUUGUUCGGAAUUACUGGGCGUAAAGGGCGCGUAGGCGGCCUUCUAAGUCGAACGUGAAAUCCCCGGGCUCAACCCGGGAACUGCGUCCGAUACUGGAAGGCUUGAAUCCGGGAGAGGGAUGCGGAAUUCCAGGUGUAGCGGUGAAAUGCGUAGAUAUCUGGAGGAACACCGGUGGCGAAGGCGGCAUCCUGGACCGGCAUUGACGCUGAGGCGCGAAAGCCAGGGGAGCAAACGGG
rnacentral:rRNA from 1 species